rnacentral:rRNA from 1 species
GAUGAACGCUGGCGGCGUGCCUAAUACAUGCAAGUCGAGCGAACAGACGAGGAGCUUGCUCCUCUGACGUUAGCGGCGGACGGGUGAGUAACACGUGGAUAACCUACCUAUAAGACUGGGAUAACUUCGGGAAACCGGAGCUAAUACCGGAUAACAUGUUGAACCGCAUGGUUCAACAGUGAAAGACGGUCUUGCUGUCACUUAUAGAUGUAUCCGCGCCGCAUUAGCUAGUUGGUAAGGUAACGGCUUACCAAGGCAACGAUGCGUAGCCGACCUGAGAGGGUGAUCGGCCACACUGGAACUGAGACACGGUCCAGACUCCUACGGGAGGCAGCAGUAGGGAAUCUUCCGCAAUGGGCGAAAGCCUGACGGAGCAACGCCGCGUGAGUGAAGAAGGUCUUCGGAUCGUAAAACUCUGUUAUUAGGGAAGAACAAAUGUGUAAGUAACUAUGCACGUCCUGACGGUACCUAAUCAGAAAGCCACGGCUAACUACGUG